CGUGUAGGCGGCUUAUUAAGUCAGAUGUGAAAGCCCACGGCUUAACCGUGGAACUGCAUUUGAAACUGAUAGGCUUGAGUAUGAGAAGGGGUAGUGGGAAUUCCCAGUGUAGCGGUGAAAUGCGUAGAUAUUGGGAAGAACACCAGUAGCGAAGGCGACUACCUGGCUCAUUACUGACGCUAAUGCGCGAAAGCGCGGGGAGCAAACA
rnacentral:rRNA from 1 species